rnacentral:rRNA from 1 species
ACUCAAAGGAAUUGACGGGGGCCCGCACAAGCGGUGGAGCAUGUGGUUUAAUUCGACGCAACGCGAAGAACCUUACCAGGACUUGACAUCGAGUGAAAUCUCUAGAGAUAGAGACCUCUCUUCGGAGACACGAAGACAGGUGGUGCAUGGUUGUCGUCAGCUCGUGUCGUGAGAUGUUGGGUUAAGUCCCGCAACGAGCGCAACCCCUAUUGUUAGUUGCCAGCAAGUAAUGUUGGGCACUCUAGCGAGACUGCCGUGGACAACACGGAGGAAGGUGGGGAUGACGUCAAAUCAUCAUGCCCCUUAUGUCCUGGGCUACACACGUGCUACAAUGGACGGUACAAAGGGUAGCGAAGCCGUGAGGUGGAGCCAAUCCCAUAAAGCCGUUCUCAGUUCGGAUUGUAGUCUGCAACUCGACUACAUGAAGUCGGAAUCGCUAGUAAUCGCAGGUCAGCACACUGCGGUGAAUACGUUCCCGGGCCUUGUACACACCGCCCGU